AUUGAACGCUGGCGGCAUGCCUUACACAUGCAAGUCGAACGGCAGCACGGGGCAACCUGGUGGCGAGUGGCGAACGGGUGAGUAAUGCAUCGGAACGUGCCAUUGAGUGGGGGAUAACGUAGCGAAAGUUGCGCUAAUACCGCAUAUUCUGUGAGCAGGAAAGCAGGGGACCGCAAGGCCUUGCGCUCUUUGAGCGGCCGAUGUCAGAUUAGCUAGUUGGUGAGGUAACGGCUUACCAAGGCGACGAUCUGUAGCGGGUCUGAGAGGAUGAUCCGCCACACUGGAACUGAGACACGGUCCAGACUCCUACGGGAGGCAGCAGUGGGGAAUUUUGGACAAUGGGCGCAAGCCUGAUCCAGCCAUGCCGCGUGAGUGAAGAAGGCCUUCGGGUUGUAAAGCUCUUUCGGCCGGGAAGAAAUCGCAUGGGCCAAUACCCUGUGUGGAUGACGGUACCGGAAUAAGAAGCACCGGCUAACUACGUGCCAGCAGCCGCGGUAAUACGUAGGGUGCGAGCGUUAAUCGGAAUUACUGGGCGUAAAGCGUGCGCAGGCGGUUUUGUAAGACAGGCGUGAAAUCCCCGGGCUUAACCUGGGAACUGCGCUUGUGACUGCAAGGCUAGAGUACGGCAGAGGGGGGUG
rnacentral:rRNA from 1 species